GUGUGUAUUUCUUGAGUGCUUGACCUCUACUUUGGCCAGCAAGAUUUGCAUUUUUUCUCUUAGUUUUAUCAAUAUAAUACCUCCCCUUUGCAGCCUUCACAGUUUGUCUGACUCCCUUGGCUCUUGAACAUUGUCAACAAAAGCAACUUAACUCACUCAGAGUUUCAGUCCCACUUUAGAAUUCGCAUUUUGACAUCGGCUCCUGGACUAGUUCUGAGGUGGGAGCUGUCCCAAUUCCAGGUGAUGUGUCUGCCUCAGUCAAGGUGUUCUCGGAGAAAGGGACUUAAACUUCAGAAUGCUCAGAGCUCUGUCAUCAAGUGAAUGGCAGCUAAGAAAUUAGACCAGCCUUACCUUUCAACUCUUUCAAGGCAGUUAUCCAAUGCAAACUUUGAAAAUGCCUUUGCUGGUUAAUCACAGAUGGACGAACCACUCCAAAAGAAACAAGAUAGCAGAUUGGUGAUCCAGUGGUGACCAGGUCUACAUGGUUUGUGAUGAGCCAGAACACCCAGGUCCUAGAACUACACAUCCCAUUACCUACAUUGCAGGAAGGGGCAAACGGAAGAGGCAUGAGGAACUUUCCACAGGCUUCCCACGUAUUCCUUAGACCCCUGUGAGGGGGGCAGGAUGGAAGUCCCAAUGUGAACAGAUGUAGCAGCCC
rnacentral:lncRNA from 1 species